CGCCGAACCGGACGGUCGCCCAGCAUCGCGCAGGAAAAUAGCAGUAAGCAGGGGUAAUCAAUAUAAACAAAUUAACUGCAAGUGCUGAUCAAGCAAUAUCAGCAAAACUCUGCCGCCAAUAACAAUUGCGCCGCUGCCAUCGACACACAGCUAGCUUAGAGUAUUUGGAAGAUAUUUAGUUUUUUCACAUUUUGGAAGUGAAUAAAUAAAGUUUGAAUAAAAUUUAAUGUGUUUAAAUUUAUUCAAAAUUAACUGGCGCCCGAGAAAGGACCAAAGUCAAAGAAGUCAAAGGAUAAAACAUCUUUUCACAACCACCACGGGACCAAACGGGAGAGAUCCAGGCUACAAAGAAGGGCAGCCAUGCAAAAAAUAGCAAUAAUUAUCUUACUUUUAUUAUGGCUGCCAAUAGCAAUGGCAAAUCUAGACGUUACGAACUAUACGGACACGCAUACCAUUAUACUCUAUAAAGGAAUAAGGAAAUUACAGACAUCAUCUAUAAAAUUAAUUCACUUAAUAGAUGUUCAACAAAUAGAAAUUGAACUGCUAAAAAUCCAAGAGCAUACUGUUAAAGAUCUUUGGCUAAAUGAGUUAAGCUUCCCGCCCUCACGCGCCACUACACCACAUAACACACCACUCACAAGCAACACUGGCACCACACAACACCCCACUCACAAGCAACACUGGCACAUACACCACACCUGAAGACAGCAGUUUUCCAACACACCACACAUCCAUUGGAAGCAGCAGAAAACCCCACACACACACCAAUACACGCAGCUGCUAAUCCAUCACCGCCCAACGAGCAAAAAGCUUCGUCCUGGAAGUGAACGGCCCCUUUUCGAUCACGAUUUUCGAUACGCAAACAUCGGCGGACGUUUUAUACUUUUUCACAUUCGGCACGCAGCAAAAAACCAUCUUUUUCAUCUGGCGAUAUUCGACACGCAGCAAAACAUCCUUUUAUAUCUGGCGAUCUUCGGCACGCAGCUCCACCAACUUUUUUUACAUUUGGCGAUCUUCGGUGCAGCAGUUCAAUCACCAUUUUCGAGUGUCUCAUUUUUAUAAUUGUGUGAACUUAAUAAUACAGCCUCCACUGGUAUCCGACCAGGGAGUCCAUCAAUUUCAUUCCUUUUUUACAAACAUACAUACAUUCUCACGCCUCCCCUGGUAUUCGACCAGGGAGAUUUUUUAUUAUAACAUCGUUUUAUCAAAUAAAAUUGU